AGGAGCCGUGUGAAUCGAAAGAUUCAUGCACGGUUCUGAAGACGAGUCAAAAAGGUGACUUUUUGGCUUAGUUUAAC
rfam:Chrysosporum ovalisporum strain TAM-MAO genome assembly, contig: 36